rnacentral:rRNA from 1 species
ACGUAGGUGGCAAGCGUUGUCCGGAUUUAUUGGGCGUAAAGCGAGCGCAGGCGGUCUCUUAAGUCUGAUGUGAAAGCCCACGGCUUAACCGUGGAGGGUCAUUGGAAACUGGGAGACUUGAGUACAGAAGAGGAAAGUGGAACUCCAUGUGUAGCGGUGGAAUGCGUAGAUAUAUGGAAGAACACCAGUGGCGAAGGCGGCUUUCUGGUCUGUAACUGACGCUGAGGCUCGAAAGCGUGGGGAGCAAACAGG